GGGCGGGUGGCGGAAUUGGCAGACGCUGGGGACUUAAAAUCCCCUGGGCUAAAAGCCCAUCCGGGUUCGAUCCCCGGCUCGCCCACCA
rnacentral:tRNA from 1 species